UCAGGCUUUAGAGUCCUGCUGGGGAUUUCUGGAAGAAUUCUGAAAACUGCUAGGUGCAGAACUUGCCACGUCUGACAGAUUUCACUUACAUGCUGUCAUCUGUUUUAAAUGUCACAGGAUAUACAGAAGCCCAAAGCUGCAGAACUGGCUCUUCUGGACUGCAAGACUUGCAAGAGAUGGACAAUAUGGUGGAGGCAGCACUGAGAGGAGGCAAUGCCAAGAUUUGCUCUAGCUGGAUGAUUUAGAAAUGGUUUGAUGAGUGAUCUACAUCUGUGCUUGGUGGCUGGGGAAGUUCAUUGAUGCCUCUAUGCAUCUGGACCCGAUCUUGACAGGGAAAUACCCGUACUACUUAGCAGCAGGAGUGAUAAACAGAAUAGGACAUCAAAAUAGAACACACGACCUCAGGAUCCAUUUUUUUUCACACCACUUUGUGUAGCCAUGACCAAACCAGUCAGAUCAAGACCCAGCCAUUGGUAACUUCAAGAGACCUAUUGCUGUUGAGAACAGCUUUCUUUCUAUCUUUGCUUUCUUUGAGGAAUUACAACUGGAGACUUGGAACAAUAGUAGAAGACCUUAGUGAAGAUGAGAAGAAGAAAAAGAGAGAAGUAGCAUACUUGUGUAUCUUCAGGUGGGAUUCACUGUGCUUCAUUUACUUUUUA